rnacentral:lncRNA from 1 species
AACACAUGGUCACCUGAAAAUGGACUCCAACAUGAUUUGCUCGAGUCUGCCAUCUCAGCCGUACCCAUUCCUUGCGAGCCGCUGGACAGCACGCAACACAGAUCACUUCAAUCAACAACACCCAGGAUGCGAACUCAGCCAUGCUCUUCAUACCCUGCACCAGCCAGCACUACUGUGGACAGAUAAGCAAGCUGUCCAGCUACCCCAGCAAGCUCUCAAACAGUCUCCCUGUGAAGAAGACAGACCCAGGUCUCUGGGUAGGAGGCUGCCAACUUUUUGGAAAAGGCCUUUGCUGCAACUACUGUGUGGGCCUCCGCAAAGGCGAGGGUGACAGGAACAGCAAGGUUUCAUGGGAGACAUCACCAACAGUAACAGUUUUAAACAUUC